CGACUAUAUUGAGUAUAGGAGGUCCAGCCUGCCCAGUGACUACGGGUUCAACGGCCGCGGUAUUUUGACCGUGCAAAGGUAGCGCAAUCACUUGUCUCUUAAAUAGAGACCUGUAUGAAUGGCUAGACGAGGGCUUAACUGUCUCCCCCUUCCAGUCAGUGAAAUUGAUCUAUCCGUGCAGAAGCGGGUAUAAUUAUACAAGACGAGAAGACCCUUUGGAGCUUAAGGUACAAGAUUCAACCACGUUAAACAACUCUACAAAAAGCACGAACUUAGUGGUGAAUGAAAUUUUACCUUCGGUUGGGGCGACCACGGAGGAAAAAGAAGCCUCCGAGUGGACUGGGCCAAACCCCUAAAGCCAAUAGAUACAUCUAUAAGCCGCAGAACAUCUGACCAAAAAUGAUCCGACUGAAAAGCCGAUCAACGAACCAAGUUACCCUAGGGAUAACAGCGCAAUCCUCUCCCAGAGUCCAUAUCGACGAGGGGGUUUACGACCUCGAUGUUGGAUCAGGACAUCCUAAUGGUGCAGCCGCUAUUAAGGGUUCGUUUGUUCAACGAUUAAAGU
rnacentral:rRNA from 1 species